AGAGUUUGAUCAUGGCUCAGGAUGAACGCUAGCGGCAGGCUUAAUACAUGCAAGUCGAGGGGUAACAUGGGUAGCAAUACCUGAUGACGACCGGCAAACGGGUGCGGAACACGUACGCAACCUUCCCAUAACUGGUGAAUAGCCUUCCGAAAGGGAGAUUAAUACACCGUAACAUAACGAGCAGGCAUCUGCUUGUUAUUAUAGGCUUCGGCCGGUUUUGGAUGGGCGUGCGCCUGAUUAGGUAGUUGGCGGGGUAACGGCCCACCAAGCCUGCGAUCAGUAACUGGUGUGAGAGCACGACCAGUCACACGGGCACUGAGACACGGGCCCGACUCCUACGGGAGGCAGCAGUAAGGAAUAUUGGUCAAUGGACGAAAGUCUGAACCAGCCAUGCCGCGUGAAGGAUGAAGGCCCUCUGGGUUGUAAACUUCUUUUAUCUGGGACGAAAAAAGCUCAUUCUUGAGCACUUGACGGUACCAGAGGAAUAAGCACCGGCUAACUCCGUGCCAGCAGCCGCGGUAAUACGGAGGGUGCAAGCGUUAUCCGGAUUCACUGGGUUUAAAGGGUGCGUAGGUGGGUUGGUAAGUCAGUGGUGAAAUCUCCGAGCUUAACUCGGAAACUGCCAUUGAUACUAUCAAUCUUGAAUCAUCUGGAGGUAAGCGGAAUAUGUCAUGUAGCGGUGAAAUGCUUAGAUAUGACAUAGAACACCAAUUGCGAAGGCAGCUUACUACGGGUGCAUUGACACUGAGGCACGAAAGCGUGGGGAUCAAACAGGAUUAGAUACCCUAGUAGUCC
rnacentral:rRNA from 1 species